AAAACUCUCUAACAGUUGCCUACCUUCUGAGCCAAUGAUCAUAAAAAUAUUCACAUAAUGUGAGGUUUUCAAGGAUGAGAAGAUAUAGAAUGGUGGACAUAUGCAAUGGCAAAUAAAAUAGUGACUCUGAGGCACAAGCGAUGUCCUCGUCGUCGGAUUGCACAUGGUUGGAAUGAAAAUCUGUUUCUUACACAAGGUCAUCUUUCUUUGAACUUUUCUUGAUCUUCGUGAUAGUAAAAACUCCUUUUUUAUUUCUUUCUUUCUUUCCCUAUUCUUUAUUUUUCUUUUUCUCAAUACUUUUUCACUUUCUUUCCUUCUUUCUUUCUUUAUUUUAUUUUUCAUCUCUUCUCCGAACCUCCUGUGAACACCUCCUCAUAAAAAUUAGCUUUAGAUCCUUCCAGAGGCCUUCCAAGAUUUUUCUGCACGUGAACUGUGGCAAUGAGACCCUAGGCCGAUUGACCUGGAGGGGACCAAGCCGAUCGGCCUAGCCCCUCUUUUCCUCCCCUCAGCCUUAUCUUUCUACUUUAUCUUUCUGGUGUAACUUCCUUAUCUUAUAUCUUUCCAAAUAUUUCAAAAAGCUCAACCAGAAAUGAAAUAGAUCUUCAUAAAUUGGGUUGUAUCCAAGGAAUAGGUAAUAAAAUUGAGAAAUUUAUGGUUUGGGUUUAGGAAUCCAGCAGAGCUUAUGAUUGUUCUAAUGAAGAACUUUCAUUACUGAAUAUUGAUGAGGCUAGCAUUCAAAGAUAGUAAAAAGGAUAUGAUCAAUGCUGAGAAUUAAAACAAACAAAGAGAGAGUGAUCCUAACUCAAUUCAAAGCAUCAACUCCGCUUGUGGUGGUGAAAUUAAAUUUUCUAUAGGCACCGGAUAGGAUAGGCAAAACUCUC
rnacentral:lncRNA from 1 species